UGGGGAAUAUUGGACAAUGGGGGGAACCCUGAUCCAGCCAUGCCGCGUGUGUGAAGAAGGCCUUAUGGUUGUAAAGCACUUUAAGCGAGGAGGAGGGUACUGGUAUUAAUACUACCAGGUACUGGACGUUACUCGCAGAAUAAGCACCGGCUAACUCUGUGCCAGCAGCCGCGGUAAUACAGAGGGUGCGAGCGUUAAUCGGAUUUACUGGGCGUAAAGCGUGCGUAGGCGGCUAAUUGAGUCGGAUGUGAAAUCCCCGAGAUUAACGUGGGAAUUGCAUUCGAGACUGGUUAGCUAGAGGGUGGGAGAGGAUGGUAGAAUUCCAGGUGUAGCGGUGAAAUGCGUAGAGAUCUGGAGGAAUACCGAUGGCGAAGGCAGCCAUCUGGCCUAACACUGACGCUGAGGAACGAAAGCAUGGGGAGCAAACAGG
rnacentral:rRNA from 1 species